rfam:Dipodomys ordii contig_73616, whole genome shotgun sequence.
GGAACUGUGGCUUAGUGGUAGAGUGUUUGCCUAGCAUGCAUGAAGCCCUGGGUUCAAUGCCCCAGUACCA